rnacentral:rRNA from 1 species
UUUUCCUACGGGGGGCAGCAGUGGGGGAUAUUGCACAAUGGGGGGAACCCUGAUGCAGCGACGCCGCGUGGGUGAAGAAGCGCCUCGGCGCGUAAAGCCCUGUCAGCAGGGAAGAAAAUGACGGUACCUGAAGAAGAAGCCCCGGCUAACUACGUGCAAGCAGCCGCGGAAAUACGUAGGGGGCAAGCGUUAUCCGGAUUUACUGGGGGUAAAGGGGGGGAAAACGGCGAUGCAAGCCAGG